rnacentral:lncRNA from 10 species
UUUUCCAGGAGUCACUGAAGACUGUUCCUGGGGGUGUUAUCUCCCUGUCAUGAAUGCCUUCUUGCCAAGCAUGCUCCAAGCAAAGAAUGCCUUUAAGUGCAGAGACCAGGUAUUUGCAGGAGAAGACUGUUAAAAGUUCCCAGCCCUGAGCCUGUCUGGAGUUGAACUUCUCUGGGAUUGGUCUUCUCCUUAGGGACUGGUGGCCACUGAUAACGGCUCUUCCAGAACAGGGUUUGCAAAAAGGUGUGUACACAACAUGAAGGUGGCCAUCUGCAAGCCAAAAAGAGAGCCUUUACCAGAACCUGACCAUUGCUGGCACCCCAAUCCUGGAUGAUCCAGCCUCUAGAACUAUGAGAAAUAAAUUUCUGCUGUUCAAGCAACCCAGUCUAAGAUAUUUUUGUUGUAGCAGCCUGAACUGCCUAAAGAAACUGUGGUCUUGUAAAUUUCUCCAACAUCAUCUCAAAUCACUCUCCGAAUUGCUCUUGUCCAGGCAUGUAGGUCUCCCUGUGUUCCCAGAGCAUGAGAAUUCACUUCCUUCCCCAGAGGCUCUGAACUCUCUAUCUCCUCUGUCUUAAUCAUACUCUAGUUCUUCACCUACCUGGCUCCUUCUCAUCCUUCAGGUAUCUUACAUAGCACCUCCAGAAUGAGCAACACAUUUCAUGACCAUUCUGUCUAAAACCAUACCUUUCCUGUUUACUCAGUUACCAUAAUUAAUGAUUUUAUUUCCUUCACUAAACUUUUCACAAUCUGUAACUGUUUUAUUUUUAAUUAUUUAAUAGGGCAUUGCUUGUCUCCAACAUAUAAAUAUAAGUUUCAUAACUGUGUAAGUAUCUUCUGUGUCUUUGUCACCCUGCUAUUCUUUCUGCCAAUUACAGUGCAUGACACAAAGUGUUAUUUAAAAAUAUUUGUUGAAUGAGUGAAUUGUAUGGAUAAGCUCUUAGAAAAACAAAUAUACAGGUAUGUGCAUGUGUGUACUGUGAGUUAAUCAUACUAUUUCUCAAUAAGUAGACCAAAAGAAUCUUAUUUACAGAACUCUAAGGCAUUUUUUCACAAGUAUUGCUAACUUAUGACUAUAAAACACCAUGUUGUUGCCCUUGAG